rnacentral:rRNA from 1 species
UACGUAGGGUGCAAGCGUUAAUCGGAAUUACUGGGCGUAAAGCGUGCGCAGGCGGUUUUGUAAGUCUGUCGUGAAAUCCCCGGGCUCAACCUGGGAAUUGCGAUGGAGACUGCAAGGCUAGAAUCUGGCAGAGGGGGGUAGAAUUCCACGUGUAGCAGUGAAAUGCGUAGAGAUGUGGAGGAAUACCGAUGGCGAAGGCGGCGACCUGGUCCUUGACUGACGCUGAGGCGCGAAAGCGUGGGGAGCAAACAGG